GUUAAGCGACUAAGCGUACACGGUGGAUGCCCUGGCAGUCAGAGGCGAUGAAGGACGUGCUAAUCUGCGAUAAGCGUCGGUGAGGUGAUAUGAACCGUUAUAACCGGCGAUUUCCGAAUGGGGAAACCCAGUGUGUUUCGACACACUAUCAUUAACUGAAUCCAUAGGUUAAUGAGGCGAACCGGGGGAACUGAAACAUCUAAGUACCCCGAGGAAAAGAAAUCAACCGAGAUUCCCCCAGUAGCGGCGAGCGAACGGGGAGGAGCCCAGAGCCUGAAUCAGUGUGUGUGUUAGUGGAAGCGUCUGGAAAGGCGUGCGAUACAGGGUGACAGCCCCGUACACAAAAAUGCACAUAUUGUGAGCUCGAUGAGUAGGGCGGGACACGUGGUAUCCUGUCUGAAUAUGGGGGGACCAUCCUCCAAGGCUAAAUACUCCUGACUGACCGAUAGUGAACCAGUACCGUGAGGGAAAGGCGAAAAGAACCCCGGCGAGGGGAGUGAAAAAGAACCUGAAACCGUGUACGUACAAGCAGUGGGAGCCUCUUUAUGGGGUGACUGCGUACCUUUUGUAUAAUGGGUCAGCGACUUAUAUUCUGUAGCAAGGUUAACCGAAUAGGGGAGCCGAAGGGAAACCGAGUCUUAACUGGGCGUUAAGUUGCAGGGUAUAGACCCGAAACCCGGUGAUCUAGCCAUGGGCAGGUUGAAGGUUGGGUAACACUAACUGGAGGACCGAACCGACUAAUGUUGAAAAAUUAGCGGAUGACUUGUGGCUGGGGGUGAAAGGCCAAUCAAACCGGGAGAUAGCUGGUUCUCCCCGAAAGCUAUUUAGGUAGCGCCUCGUGAAUUCAUCUCCGGGGGUAGAGCACUGUUUCGGCAAGGGGGUCAUCCCGACUUACCAACCCGAUGCAAACUGCGAAUA
rnacentral:rRNA from 1 species